GCUCUUUGGUUAUGAAGAUGAAGAGUUGGGCCUGCCCGGUGAGUAAUUUAACGGUUGCAAUGAGAAUUGUACUAAGGUAGCAUAAUAAUUUGUCUUUUAAUUGGAGAAUGGAAUGAAUGGUUUAAUGUAAAAAAACUGUUUCUGUAAAAUUUUAUGAAUUUUCCUUUUAAGUGAAAAGGCUUAAGUGUUUGUAAAAGACGAGAAGACCCUGUCGAGUUUAAUUUGAAUUUAUAAAAGUUUAUAGUUCUAAAUUUUGUUGGGGCAAUGUAAAUUAAGAAAGCAAUUUAAUAAGGUUGGAAUCCUUUUAGAAAGAAUAAAGAAAAAAUUACCGCAGGGAUAACAGCGUUAUCCUUUUUGAGAGAUCUUAUUGAGAAAAGGGUUUGCGACCUCGAUGUUGGAUUAAGAAAACUUUAUGGUGCAGCAGCUUUAGAAGUGAGACUGUUCGUCUUUUAAUUUCUU
rnacentral:rRNA from 1 species